UACGUAGGGGGCUAGCGUUGUCCGGAAUCAUUGGGCGUAAAGAGCGUGUAGGCGGCCCGGUAAGUCCGCUGUGAAAGUCGGGGGCUCAACCCUCGAAUGCCGGUGGAUACUGUCGGGCUAGAGUGCGGAAGAGGCGAGUGGAAUUCCUGGUGUAGCGGUGAAAUGCGCAGAUAUCGAGAGGAACACCAGUGGCGAAGGCGAGUCUCUGGACAUUUCCUAACGCUGAGGCACGAAAGCCAGGGGAGCAAACGGG
rnacentral:rRNA from 1 species